rnacentral:rRNA from 1 species
UACGUAGGCAGCAAGCGUUGUUCGGAGUUACUGGGCGUAAAGGGUGUGUAGGCGGGUCUUUAAGGUUGGUGUGAAAUCUCCCGGCUUAACCGGGAGGGUGCGGUGAAUACUGAGGGACUAGAGUACGGGAGAGGAAAGUGGAAUUCCUGGUGUAGCGGUGAAAUGCGUAGAUAUCAGGAGGAACACCGGUGGUGUAGACGGCUUUCUGGACCGACACUGACGCUGAGACACGAAAGCGUGGGUAGCAAACAGG